CUGGUUUCUUCCAGCAGUGCAAGGCUGAAGCGGCACAGCCAGUUCCAAGCACAGUAACUACACAUCAUCCUAGAGCCGUGCUAGAGUCCUCGUUAUCUACAGAAGAUGGUUUUGGUUAAGGUCAUCAAUGGAAGCAAUCCUACCUGUCCCCAUGUACGUUAAAAGGUCACAGAAUUGAAGAGCAGGGCAGAUGGCCUUACCAUAGGGUGGCUAUGUGUCUACCUGCCAGUCCCCGGCACAGUCUGCCUCUGACGUGGACUGUGG
rnacentral:lncRNA from 1 species